GUAUAAGCUUCAGGACUGUGUGGGCCAGAAAAUAGCUUAAAUUAGACUCGGUGGACCUUCGCAAUGAAAACACUUCACAAUGAGCGAAGGACACUUACUGCAAGGUUAGAGCCUCUGCCGUGUCUUCAUUUACCUUAAUCUUCAUCAAGGAUGAUUCUUCAGCUUGAAGACUGGCUCAAUGGGACUCUGCAGCAGCUGGGAAUCAAAGGACAUGCCGUGGAAAAACUUCUGGCUUUGGAAUAGCUCUAGGCGCCGUAAGCGACGUGCGGGGAUCUUGCACAGAGAUAUAUUCAAACAUGAUAAGAGAGUUUUAAAAAGACAGCUUCGAAUAUUUGCACAACAGGGUUAUAUGCCAUUCAGAUUUGAAGGAGGUAGAUAAAAAAUGUAAAGAAACUAAUUUAAAUGAGGUGUAUUUUUUUAUUAUACAUUUUUAGUAUGAAUUACCUAUAAAUUAAUAUUUUA